rnacentral:tRNA from 1 species
GGGGCUGUAGCUCAGUUUGGGAGAGCGCUUGAAUGGCAUUCAAGAUGUCAGGGGUUCGAUCCCCCUCAGCUCCACCA